rnacentral:snoRNA from 1 species
UUGCGGUGAUGACCAUUUAGGACACCUUUGUAUGACCCAUGAAAAGAAAGUAUGAAAUCUGAGCAAU